rnacentral:lncRNA from 1 species
AGUGGGUGAAAAUAACAUUCCCUUCCCGGAGAAGUGGGACUUUGCACGUAAGUGUUAAACCCUUCUCGUGCCUUUUUAUUUCUAGGCUCGCUUAUUUUUAGUUUUACUUCUUUUUCUUUUCAACAGCCAUGGGCAUUGUGGAGUCUGUGCAGUUGGGUAGAAAAGUUGCUGAAAACUGCCCCAAUGGAGGGUAGAUCAUGGAAAACCCUUUUCAACAGUUAUGGUUGGAAAGUAAAGACUCAUGGUAAAGACUUCUAUUUCCACCUUAUCUAUAUUCAAAUACUUUUGUUGUUCUAACUUUCAUCCUUCUUUUUAUCAGGAUUUUCCAUUCGAUGAGUUACUCUAGAGACCACCUUGGUAUCCCGUGACCAUAAGUACUUGCACUUCUUCAGCCCAAGAUAUUAUAUAUAUCCUUUUAUAGGCCCUUUUGGGAAUGUACAUUAUGUCUAAGUCAUAAUGAGGCUAUUAUGAAUAAUUAGUGACAUUAGAUGUCACAUUACAUUAUAAUUACAUUGAAUGCAUAUAAUCCUUAACACAUUCAACAUUUAAUAUUGUUUAAUACCGUUUAAUACAGUAUUUGAAUGCAUAUAUUCCUUAACCAGAUUCAUUAUUUCCAUUGCUCGGAUGUGAAUAAGCUCAAACAAGGACGGUUGCCGAUACUCUCGCCCCGUGCCUCUUCCUUUCUCCUUACUCGUACCUGAUUUGUAAUUCUCAAGCCGUAGCUAAAUAUAAUUUAUUGAUCAUUCCACGUGUCCCAAUACGUCGUCAUAUGUACGAAUACAAUUUUUCCCAAUACAGUAAGGUAUUAGAGUUAGUUCCUUUUGAGUUGUAAUCUAAAAUUACUUAAAAAAAUUUCCAAUACAGAUAAUCCUCCCACUUUCCAUUUAUUCAUCAGUUUGAAUAUUUGGGAAGUGGAAUUCAUUAAAGGAGAAUUUGUGUCGUCAUUAAUGAUUUGACAGAGUUGACGCUUCAAUUGUCACUUUCUUUUAAUGCUCUAGGCACGUGUCAUUCUUUCAUUGGUUGCAUAAUUUUGCAGCACUUUCUUGGGCUUUCUUUUCGGCUUCACUGUUCACGAAGCGUCAGUAUCAUUAUUAUGGUUCUUUCAUUACCAUACUUUUCCGUUUUUGCUGGUUACCCAUUAGUAUAAAUAUAACUUCUUUUCGUGUCUUGUUUCGCAUAAAGCAUAUCAUACACUCUAAUCCUUCGAGACUUCUUUGCUAUUUUCUGCUUCACUUUAACUUUCUUUGCCAUGGCUUCACCAAAUCUUAACCCUAAGAGAACCCCCAUUCUGGAUAGCUUCCCUAAUGUUGCGAUUAGACAUGGAAGAGGGGGUAGACUCUGUAACCUUGGAUCUGCUCGUGGUGGUAGUACGUCAACUCCUUCUUCUAGAUCUGGUCCCUCUUCUAGGACUAAAGGUUCACAUUCUCAGAGGAGUUCAUCCCGGAAUAAAGAAUCUUCUGAGCCACUUUGUGAGCCUCUGGUUGAGGAAGUAAUCCCUUCUGAAAUUUCCUUUAAUCAUGAUAGAGAAUCUCUUAGGACCAACGUUGCUUCUUUAGACCGUGAUGAUCCUUUCCCUACUCAAAUCACGGAUAUUUUAGCUCCCUUAUUUCGUAAGGAUUGUUAUUGGCGUGAUGAUUUCCCAAUCAUCGUUCCUAAUUCAAAUCAGAGGAUCACAUCUUACUUAAUAGGAUUCUCUUCUGUUUACACAUACCCUUUUAAUCUA